GCGGUUUUUCAAUUAGCAUGCCCACAACUUCCAACUUUUCUUAUCAAAACUCAACUCUAACUCAGUUGUAGUUCAUACAUAAUGAUCCUAAUAAGAACACUACUACAAAAAGCAACUCUUAAUCGCUAGAUACACCUUAUAUUUUGUUGAUAAAUAUGUAUUUGUUGCAGCGGCUAGAAACACUACAACAAAUUUCGUGAUUAUUUAUAAUGGUUGGCUAAGCAAUCUCUUGAUAAACAAUCACGAAAUUUGUUGAUGAUUUUUGACUGUCUAACAAUUUCUUAGUCAAUCGUUAUGAAUGCCGGAACGCACACUUGUUUAAUUGUUAUGAUAACAAACUUUUGCAAAACCACUGUAUUCUUUAAUAUAAACCUCAAAGGUUCGAAAAGCUUACAAAACUCUGUUUCAGACCCCGCCUCCAACCAUGUCAUAAGGCAACCGAUAAUUUUAACAUUCUUGAGAUUGAAAAGCAUUAUUUGAAAUCCCAACUCGGAAAAUUGAUGUUAUCUACUUUGGCGAAAUAUCUUAGCUUGAGCUAGCAGAUACAACCUCUCGCUUUGUAUGCCUAUGGCACAAGCUACUUAUUGAAAAUUUUGAACAAGAUUAGGAAAAUAUUUAGAGAGAAAACUAAUUUGUACCGAUGAAAAAUCAAAGAGAACAUACAAGAUAGAGUGGGUAGAAUAAUAACCACGGUAUCGAUGAAGUUAAGUUAUGAAAUUGAAAAAUUUAAGUUUGGAUGAAAGAAA
rnacentral:misc_RNA from 1 species